CACGUAGGGGGCAAGCGUUGUCCGGAUUUAUUGGGCGUAAAGAGCUCGUAGGUGGUUCGGUAAGUCAGGUGUGAAACCUCCAGGCUCAACCUGGAGACGCCACUUGAUACUGCUGUGACUGGAGUCCGGUAGGGGAGCGUGGAAUUCCUGGUGUAGCGGUGAAAUGCGCAGAUAUCAGGAGGAACACCGGUGGCGAAGGCGGGUCUCUGGGCCGUAACUGACGCUGAGGAGCGAAAGCAUGGGGAGCGAACAGG
rnacentral:rRNA from 1 species